AUACGGAGGGUGCGAGCGUUGUUGGGAAUUACUGGGCGUAAAGGGCGCGUAGGCUGUUUAUCAAGUCGGGUGUGAAAGUCCACGGCUCAACCGUGGAAGUGCAUCCGAAACUGAUAGACUUGAGUACUGGAGAGGAAAGUGGAAUUCCUGGUGUAGAGGUGAAAUUCGUAGAGAUCAGGAGGAACACCGGUGGCGAAGGCGACUUUCUGGACAGAUACUGACGCUGAGGCGCGAAAGCGUGGGGAGCAAACAGGAUUAGAAACCCCUGUAGUCC
rnacentral:rRNA from 1 species